AAAGCAAAUCAACCUUGUUGCUUUCAUUUUUAAUGAAAGAGGAAAGUCCGGACACCAUAGGAUAUCACAGCGGGUAACGCCCGUCCACUGUAAAGUGAGGACAAGUGCAACAGAAAGCAAGUACAGUUAGGCUGUAGUGAAAUCAGGUAAACUCUGUGAGGUGCAAUGCUAUGUAUACCGACUUAUAAGGGUUAUCCGUCCGAUGUCGGGGGGUAAGCAGUUUGAAGUAAGAAGUAAUUCUUAUUCUAGAUAAAUAACAGGGCUUUUUCAGAACUGAAAAAUGACAGAAUCCGGCUUAUUGAUUUGCUUUUUUC
rnacentral:RNase_P_RNA from 1 species